GAGGCGAGCUCGCGAGGCGGGGCCGCGCCCGAGGCGCCGAGGGCCCCGUGACCUCGCGCGCCCGGGGCAAUAAUGGUGCUCACGUGGCGCGGCCGCAGUGGGCAUCAUUUUGGACAGCCUUAGUCCCUUCUUCAAAAUAUCCUACUGCUCAAACUCAAGUAUUCCAGCAUUGUUCUUUCUAACACACUGGAAUGCAUGUGAAAUAAAUCUUACCUGCUUCUCUGAAAUCUGCUGUGUUUAAUAAUGAUUUUUUUAUUAUUGUGGAUUUCUUUUUACUGUGUUUUUGUAUGUGCUAUGCUGAAUAAAUGAGGUGGACAAGAAAGA